CCUACGGGAGGCAGCAGUGGGGGAUAUUGCACAAUGGGGUUAACCCUGAUGCAGCGACGCCGCGUGAGCGAAGAAGCCCCUCGGUGUGUUAAGCCCCAUUAGCCGGGAAGAAAAUGACGGUACCUGAAGCAGAAGCCCCGGCUAACUACGUGCCAGCAGCCGCGGUAAUACGUAGGGCGCAAGCGUUAUCCGGAUUUACUGGGUGUAAAGGGGGCGUUGUCGGCAAUGCAAGCCAGGCGUGAAAGACCCGGGGCCAACCCCGGGACUGCAGUUGGAACUGGGUGGCUUGAGUGUAGGAGAGGCAGGCGGAAUUCGUGGUGUAGCGGUGAAAUGCGUAGAUAUCAGGAGGAACACCGGUGGCGAAGGCGGCCUGCUGGACUGCAACUGACGUUGAGGCACGAAAGCGUGGGGAGCAAACAGGAUUAGAUACCCGUGUAGUC
rnacentral:rRNA from 1 species